AAAGAGCUAAAAUUUUCUACCUAAGCACUAAGACUUUAAAGUUAAAACUUAAAGAACAUGGCGACAGCAUAUAUUCAGGGGAACUUACCAUAUAAAUGAUAACCCACAAGGAACCGUGCUAAACUUCAUAGUAUGUAUACCGCCGUCAAGAGCUUAAUUGAGUUAAGUUCAAAAAGAUUCAACCAUAGGACAGGUCAUGGUGCAGCCAAUAGUUUAGGUUUGGCGAGUUACAUUAUUAAGUUUUUUCAGACUGUAAAAAAAAAUUACCAGAUAAGAGGGACUUGAAAGUAAAUAAUAAAAGAAUUACUUAUUGAAUUUUAUUUUUGCUGUGC
rnacentral:rRNA from 1 species